rnacentral:rRNA from 1 species
AACGAACGUUGGCGGCGUGGAUUAGGCAUGCAAGUCGUACGAGAUGCCAGAGCUUGCUCUGGUUAUCUAGUGGCGAACGGGUGAGUAACGCGUGGGAAACCUGCCCUCGAGAUGGGGAUAACACUUCCAACGAGGUGCUAAAUACCCGGAUACGACCACAUUUCCGCAUGGUUGUGUGGUGAAAGAUGGCCUCUGCUUGCAAGCUAUCACUCGAGGAUGGUCCCGCGUCCCAUUAGCUAGUUGGUGAGGUAACGGCCCACCAAGGCGACGAUGGGUAGCUGGUCUGAGAGGAUGGUCCAGCCACACUGGGACUGAGAUACGGCCCAGACACCUACGGGAGCUG